rnacentral:rRNA from 1 species
AUUGAACGCUGGCGGCAUGCCUUACACAUGCAAGUCGAACGGCAGCACGGGAGCAAUCCUGGUGGCGAGUGGCGAACGGGUGAGUAAUAUAUCGGAACGUGCCCAGUCGUGGGGAUAACGUAGCGAAAGCUACGCUAAUACCGCAUACGAUCUAUGGAUGAAAGCGGGGGAUCGCAAGACCUCGCGCGAUUGGAGCGGCCGAUAUCAGAUUAGGUAGUUGGUGAGGUAAAGGCGUCACCAAGCCGACGAUCUGUAGCUGGUCUGAGAGGACGACCAGCCACACUGGGACUGAGACACGGCCCAGACUCCUACGGGAGGCAGCAGUGGGGAAUUUUGGGACAAUGGGCGCGAAGCCUGAUCCAGCAAUGCCGCGUGCAGGAUGAAGGCCUUCGGUUGGUAAC